UACGUAGGGUGCAAGCGUUAAUCGGAAUUACUGGGCGUAAAGCGUGCGCAGGCGGUUAUGUAAGACAGAUGUGAAAUGCCCGGGCUUAACCUGGGAACUGCAUUUGUGACUGCAUGGCUAGAGUUUGGCAGAGGGGGGGUAGAAUUCCACGUGUAGCGGUGAAAUGCGUAGAGAUGUGGAGGAACACCAAUGGCGAAGGCAGCCUUCUGGGCCAACACUGA
rnacentral:rRNA from 1 species